CAUGUAGACCAUAUCAGUUUGUCAAAACCUGGUCUUGUCAGAUCUCAGGAGCCAAGCAAGGUCAGGCCCGGUUAAUACUCGGAUGAGAGACCACUGGGAAUAUCAGGUGCCACAGUGA
rnacentral:rRNA from 1 species